rnacentral:rRNA from 1 species
AGGACAGUGUAUGGUGGGUAGUUUGACUGGGGCGGUCUCCUCCUAAAGAGUAACGGAGGAGUACGAAGGUGCGCUCAGACCGGUCGGAAAUCGGUCGUAGAGUAUAAAGGCAAAAGCGCGCUUGACUGCGAGACAGACACGUCGAGCAGGUACGAAAGUAGGUCUUAGUGAUCCGGUGGUUCUGUAUGGAAGGGCCAUCGCUCAACGGAUAAAAGGUACUCCGGGGAUAACAGGCUGAUACCGCCCAAGAGUUCAUAUCGACGGCGGUGUUUGGCACCUCGAUGUCGGCUCAUCACAUCCUGGGGCUGAAGCCGGUCCCAAGGGUAUGGCUGUUCGCCAUUUAAAGUGGUACGCGAGCUGGGUUUAGAACGUCGUGAGACAGUUCGGUCCCUAUCUGCCGUGGACGUUUGAGAUUUGAGAGGGGCUGCUCCUAGUACGAGAGGACCGGAGUGGACGAACCUCUGGUGUUCCGGUUGUCACGCCAGUGGCAUUGCCGGGUAGCUAUGUUCGGGAAAGAUAACCGCUGAAAGCAUCUAAGCGGGAAACUUGCCUCAAGAUGAGAUCUCACUGGAACCUUGAGUUCCCUGAAGGGCCGUCGAAGACUACGACGUUGAUAGGUUGGGUGUGUAAGCGCUGUGAGGCGUUGAGCUAACCAAUACUAAUUGCCCGUGAGGCUUGACCAU